ACGCCUUCCAGGUACGUUUCUUCAUUGUCUUCUAAUUCGUUCUUGUCUAGAGGCGUAAGAUCGGAUUCAUUUCAUCGGAAUGGAAUCGGAAUUGGGUCUCAGAGUCGUUCGAUUUCCGUCGAAGCUUUGAAACCUAGCGACACUUUUCCCCGUCGCCACAACUCUGCUACCCCUGAAGAACAGAACAAAAUGGCAGAGGCUUGUGGAUUUGAUAGCCUCGAUUCACUUGUCGAUGCCACUGUUCCUAAAUCGAUUAGGCUUCAAUCGAUGAAAUUCUCUAAGUUUGAUGAAGGGUUAACGGAGAGCCAAA
rnacentral:misc_RNA from 1 species